rnacentral:rRNA from 1 species
GACGUAGGGCGCGAGCGUUGUCCGGAUUUAUUGGGCGUAAAGAGCUCGUAGGCGGCUUGUCGCGUCGUCCGUGAAAACCUGCAGCUCAACUGCAGGCUUGCGGUCGAUACGGGCAGGCUAGAGUUCGGUAGGGGAGACUGGAAUUCCUGGUGUAGCGGUGAAAUGCGCAGAUAUCAGGAGGAACACCGGUGGCGAAGGCGGAUCUCUGGGCCGUAACUGACGCUGAGGAGCGAAAGCGUGGGGAGCGAACAGG